rnacentral:rRNA from 1 species
GAUGAACGCUGGCGGCGUGCCUAAUACAUGCAAGUCGAGCGAACGGACGAGAAGCUUGCUUCUCUGAUGUUAGCGGCGGACGGGUGAGUAACACGUGGAUAACCUACCUAUAAGACUGGGAUAACUUCGGGAAACCGUAGCUAAUACCGGAUAAUAUUUUGAACCGCAUGGUUCAAAAGUGAAAGACGGUCUUGCUGUCACUUAUAGAUGGAUCCGCGCUGCAUUAGCUAGUUGGUAAGGUAACGGCUUACCAAGGCAACGAUGCGUAGCCGACCUGAGAGGGUGAUCGGCCACACUGGAACUGAGACACGGUCCAGACUCCUACGGGAGGCAGCAGUAGGGAAUCUUCCGCAAUGGGCGAAAGCCUGACGGAGCAACGCCGCGUGAGUGAUGAAGGUCUUCGGAUCGUAAAACUCUGUUAUUAGGGAAGAACAUAUGUGUAAGUAACUGUGCACAUCUUGACGGUACCUAAUCAGAAAGCCGCGGCUAACUACGUG